UGGGGAAUUUUGGACAAUGGGCGCAAGCCUGAUCCAGCCAUGCCGCGUGCAGGAUGAAGGCCCUCGGGUUGUAAACUGCUUUUGUACGGAACGAAAAGCCUCUUUCUAAUAAAGAGGGGUGAUGACGGUACCGUAAGAAUAAGCACCGGCUAACUACGUGCCAGCAGCCGCGGUAAUACGUAGGGUGCGAGCGUUAAUCGGAAUUACUGGGCGUAAAGCGUGCGCAGGCGGUCUGUUAAGUCUGCUGUGAAAUCCCCGGGCUCAACCUGGGAAUGGCAGGCGAAACGGGCGGGCUAGAGUACGGUAGAGGAUGGUGGA
rnacentral:rRNA from 1 species